rnacentral:lncRNA from 1 species
UUUUUUUUACCUUUACAUUACUUACUUUCAAUAUCGCAUCGUACGUUUUGUCGCUUUCAUAACCUCCCUUCCACAUAGGUAGAAAUUACAUCUACACCUUAAAGAUCUAUUGUGAUAGCACCUCUGGUGCAUACAAAAUUCGGUGGAAGCUUUAUGCUGACUUCUUACGACUUAGCUCUAUGACACAAUCUAGAAACAAAAGAAGGGUAACAUUUCCUAAAUGCCCUAUAGACUCUCAAUUAUAAAUAUGGUGCGCAACGCACCCAUAAGUGAGACUCUACUAGGCACGACUUUGUAGACUCCCUAGGACACAACCCGAUCUGAUACCACUCUGUCACCCCCAAACCUGGGGAGGCAUGGCUGGCACCCGGUGCUGUACUGGCCCGAGCGAACCACUCUACUACUCCUUUUUCUUUUUGUGUAACUAUCAUAGGCCAACAUGGCCAUAACUCGUAAUGUACAAUUGUAAGUGGGCAAAUGUUAUAUCAAUGAACCAUCGUUCAUAAAACAUGAAUACAUAUGGGCCUCAAGGCCUCUGACAUACUGUACAUAAUAACCCUAUGUUUACAAAGCCUCUAAGAUUAUUUGAAAUAAAAUGAGACAGGGUACCGGCCUACCCAUAAGUCUGUGCAAAACUCUGACACGAUGAAUCAUAGACUCGACUGCACUCCGAAUGAGGUGGAGUCGUACCGAUCCUUCGCUGAAUGCCAAUCUUAUCUACUAUGAGGGACCGUCAAAUUGAUUAUCUAUACCUGCAGCCAUGAAUACAGCAUCCCUACAAAAGGAUGUCAGUACGAAUAAUGUACUGAGUAUGUAAGGCAUGUAAAUAAAUAUAUAAAGGACAUGAAAGAAACAUGGAGUAAAGGACUCAACCUGUGUAAAUCUGGAUAGAUCUGUAAAUUAUGAAAUAUUUAUAAUGUCAUGCAUAUGCAUGUAACUAUCAUGUAAUGCAUAUGUCUGUACGUACAUAUCAUCAUCAAGCCUCUGAGGGCAUCCCAUCAUAUCAUUUCGGCCACUGUAGCCAAUAUUAUCAAUGUACACCAGCUGAUCAGGUGGUGGUGCGUAUAUAACGCCGUAAACUUUUACCAUAUACUAUAUAUAUAUAUAUAUACACACACACACACACACACACACAUAUAUAUACGCGUAUAUAACGCCGUCUGAGUCAUGGGUAAAUGCACAUGUAAAUGGAUGCAAUGCAAGAAUUACGUCAAUAAAACCUCUCAGAACGUCAAAAGACCAUUAUGCCUCUGAUUAAUAUCAUGAAAUAAACUUUAUCAACUUAUGUAUUUUCUGAGACCCAUGAACAGACGAUAGAAUAAUAAGACAUAUGGGAAUUUAAGAACAUAGGCACCUCUAAUACUUCUAUGAAUAGAGUCAUUUAUGGAAGUUGUGCAUACAUUAGAAUUAGUUCUUGGUAGGUUGAUUUCCUAGGCAUAUUAGUUGUGAUGACUUAGCCAUGCAAGCGGGUGUAUUACCUCAAGUGUACUAUUUGGUUUGCAAGAAGAUUUUACAUAACUAGAGACUUGAAGAACUGGUGUUACAGUGAAGGAUUGGGUAAAACAGAUAAUUAAAGAGACAUGAUUUGCUGCAGAGGUGGCUGUCCAAAAACUAUGAACAACCAAACAAUAAGGCGAAAAAGAAAAAUUUUAUGCAAUAUUUUCUAAUUACAGUUUGCACUUCAGUGGCUUUUGAUUGUUAAACACCCAAACGUUUUCUAUGCAAAUUGUAAAACUUUACAAUAGCUUAUCUACAAUCUUCUAAAUGAAGAUCCACCUCCAACUGUGUGCAAUAUGGCAGAGGUGAUUUAAAAAAACUCGUUUAGCUUGUAUCUUAUGGAUCAUGCCAAAAUAAAUAAGGGAUAACCUUAACAUACCUGAGCCGAUUAUCUUGAAACACGACUAAACUGACAUUUAUGGCUAGCUCGAGUUUGACCUUUGAAAAUGCGAUCACACUGCUUGCUUGUUGAAAGAAAUAAUAUAAGGGAAGAAGAGAACUGGCCGAGGAAUUUCCUCUUUUCAAUUAAGCGAUAAAUUGUACAUCUCUAACUUUGGUUACCUAUCCAGAAAGGAAACUACAACUUUGGAUAAGACCUGAUCUAGAAACGCAGAGGUUCAUAUAUUGGCAGAAGGAUAUGGGGUAGGUAGAAUAUAAGCCAAUUUGUUCUUCCUGUAAUGUAGCACUUUACAUUCUAUAUAAAAAAAAGUAUCCCUUUGCAU